GGGCUCGUGGUCUAGCGGCUAUGACAUCACCCUUACAAGGUGAGAGUCGUCGGUUCAAAUCCGACCGGGCCCA
rnacentral:tRNA from 1 species